UACGUAGGGUGCAAGCGUUGUCCGGAAUUAUUGGGCGUAAAGAGCUCGUAGGCGGUCUGUCGCGUCGGCUGUGAAAACCCGGGGCUCAACCCCGGGCCUGCAGUCGAUACGGGCAGACUAGAGUGCGGUAGGGGAGACUGGAAUUCCUGGUGUAGCGGCGAAAUGCGCAGAUAUCAGGAGGAACACCGGUGGCGAAGGCGGUUCUCUGGGAAUGUCCUGACGCUGAGGAGCGAAAGUGUGGGGAGCGAACAGG
rnacentral:rRNA from 1 species